UACGAAGGGGGCUAGCGUUGCUCGGAAUCACUGGGCGUAAAGCGCACGUAGGCGGAUUGUUAAGUCAGGGGUGAAAUCCUGGAGCUCAACUCCAGAACUGCCUUUGAUACUGGCAAUCUCGAGUCCGGGAGAGGUGAGUGGAACUGCGAGUGUAGAGGUGAAAUUCGUAGAUAUUCGCAAGAACACCAGUGGCGAAGGCGGCUCACUGGCCCGGUACUGACGCUGAGUGCGAAAG
rnacentral:rRNA from 1 species